rnacentral:rRNA from 1 species
UACGGAGGAUGCGAGCGUUAUCCGGAUUUAUUGGGUUUAAAGGGUGCGUAGGCGGACUGUCAAGUCUGCGGUAAAAUUGAGAGGCUCAACCUCUUCCCGCCGUUGAAACUGGUGGCCUUGAGUGGGCGAGAAGUACGCGGAAUGCGUGGUGUAGCGGUGAAAUGCAUAGAUAUCACGCAGAACUCCGAUUGCGAAGGCAGCGUACCGGCGCCCAACUGACGCUGAAGCACGAAGGCGUGGGUAUCGAACAGG